rnacentral:rRNA from 1 species
ACGGGUGAGUAACGCGUGGGCAACCUGCCUUUUACAGGGGGAUAACACAGGGAAACUUGUGCUAAUACCGCAUAACAUCAUUAGGUGGCAUCACUUGAUGAUCAAAGGAGCAAUCCGGUAGAAGAUGGGCCCGCGUCCAAUUAGCUAGUUGGUGGUGUAACGGACCACCAAGGCGACGAUUGGUAGCCGAACUGAGAGGUUGAUCGGCCACAUUGGGACUGAGACACGGCCCAGACUCCUACGGGAGGCAGCAGUGGGGAAUAUUGCGCAAUGGGGGAAACCCUGACGCAGCAACGCCGCGUGAAGGAUGAAGGUUUUCGGAUUGUAAACUUCUUUGAUGAGGGACGAAAAAUGACGGUACCUCAAAAACAAGCCACGGCUAACUACGUGCCAGCAGCCGCGGUAAUACGUAGGUGGCGAGCGUUGUCCGGAAUUACUGGGUGUAAAGGGCGUGUAGGCGGGGAUGCAAGUCAGAUGUGAAAUGCCGGAGCUUAACUCCGGAGCUGCAUCUGAAACUGCGUCUCUUGAGUGCCGGAGAGGAAAGCGGAAUUCCCAGU